rnacentral:lncRNA from 7 species
GCUUAAGCACCUAAAACUGAUGUUGCUUUGCUAGAAAUGCCUAGGGAUAGUUGUUUCUGAAGGAGAUGCAGAGAAUGUUAGAUGAUAACUAACUAGCUUGCUAUUAUGAGCAAUUUGCAGCUGGCUUGUGAACCUAGCUUUAGGGAAUAGCUUCCAGACCCCAGGCAGAAGGACUGAAGAGAUGAAGUACGUGAGAUCUGAACUUGGAAGAUGACUGAGCUUUUAGAUGGGAGUAUGAUCUGCUGGAAGACUGAAUGGCAACUCAGGAGACCUACUUUUCCUCUGAGCUCUUUUGCAUUCUGUUGAUAAAAAUGGACAGAAAUGAACAGUAUUAUGUAAUUAUCCAACCAAAAAAAUGAUCUCUGUUUCUGUCUGUGAAUAAGCUAAUGCUGGCUGGUGAAGAGGAGAAAGUUGCAACGUUACUAUUGGGAAUUUGUAUGAAAAGCAGUGUUAAACAGUAGCAAUUUAAAACUUUUUUUAAGAAGCUCUAUGUGAUUUCAGCAGUAAAAUAUGCUUCAGGAAUCUGACUUCUUUUUUUUCUAUCAAGAUCGGAAUUGAUAAUACGUAGACAUUUGCAAGCAAAAUACAAAAUAAAAUGAAACCACAAAACAAAAAAAGCCUAAACCUCUACUACGUGUAUCUUUCCUAACUUUACAUUUUUUUGAUAGGUUAUUACUGUAACUAUGACUAACGACAGUAACAAUUAUGGCUAUAGCUAUGGCUGUUGCCAUUACUACAGCUACUGCUAUUACUGUAAUUAUUGCUAUUACUGUUACUGUUACUAUUAGUGUUACUAUUGCUUCCCUGGCUGUAAUGAAUUCAGUUUGUGUACAUUAGGGUGAUUUUUAAAAUGAACACGAUUUCUGUUUCAGUAAAUAAAGAUUUUAGGC